rnacentral:tRNA from 1 species
GGUGGUUGUAGUAUAGUGGUAAGUAUUCCCCCUAUCACGCGGGUGACCCGGGUUCGAUCCCCGGCAACGGCGU